AAGCUGAUGAGCUGAUCCGACUUCUUUGAGUCCUCGAUGUCUAAAGGUAUAUAAAAUUGUUCGCAAACUUGAUGAAAAUGUUGUGAUAAAGAUGGAGCGUGGUAUUGUGGGCGAUGUUGACUAUCCCUUACAACUUGACCCGUUGGAGAUUAUGUGUUUCUUAAGGAUGGAGACGUUAGAUGUUUCCAUAUUGCAGUUCUUUAUAAGAUGAACGGACAGGGUAUAUCAACGUCACCAUGCAAUAUGGAC